AUUUGAUUUUAUGAGGUGUGGUAUAUGUUACCCUGUAACGUGACAACUAAGCAUGACAGAUGGUGCAAACUAUUCCUUUUUAGAGCCCUAUCAACCCAAACAAUCAUUUGCAUAAUUUCUUACUUAAAUUGGAGCAAGUUUAACUUUUGACCCCUGUGCAAACUGAAA